GAUGGCCAAUGUGUGGGGGAAAUGAUGGAAGGUUGGCUGAGCAAGAUUUCAGAGAUCAUAGUCAAAGUGUUUCUGAAAGCUUCUCAGCUGCCAUUCUCUGUUGCUCAGCCAGAAGUUGCUGAAGUUCCUCUGUAGACAAUUCCUCCAAGUGUUCCUUCACCAGUUCCUCAACAUCACCACUGUCUAUCUGCAAGCCUAUGGAUGCUACUAUAGUGAAAAUGUCAUCAACCACUGGAUCAAAUGAAGGCUCAGGCUCCUCUACACAGCCUUCAGUCACUCUCCUAUAUAGUUUUAGGCCACACUUUCUUCCAGGCAGAUCUAAGUGUCCUUAGAGGGACACUGGCCCAGGAUUUCUCAAUUCACCCCAAACAGGAUAUACCAGUAUUUCAGUUGUAACUCAGGACUUUGGUCAUAAAUUAAAACUAAAAUUCUGGUCAGAACCCAAGUUGUUUGGCUGGCUGUAACUUGAGGGUCCACUGUUAAGGGAUAGAAAGGGCUGUGGUUGGCCCUUGUGCCUUUGCUACUUUUUGCCUGCCAUUAACUGUUUCCCCUUUGUGAUACCACCCUGCCUUGGAGCCAGCUGAUUGUAGACUGAAACCUCUACAAACUGUGAGCUAAAUAAACCUUUCCUUCCUUAA